CGCACUGAAUCAUUAAUAGGAGAAAUAGCAGAUUACUGUCCAGGGUUUGCUCAACAAGGCUUCUCUUUUGUAAAACCAUGGAAAUCCCAACACCCUGCUUGGGCUUUCCAGGAAAUAUGCCAAAAUACAACUAAAAGUAUACAUGCCUCAGUUCACCCUACAACAAUAGACCUCUGGUUUUUCUUUGCUUUAUUCUGUACUCAGAGAAAAUCACAACUGGUCUUUCUUUGCGCUAUU
rnacentral:misc_RNA from 1 species